UACAGAGGUCCCAAGCGUUGUUCGGAUUCAUUGGGCGUAAAGGGUGCGUAGGUGGCGUCGUAAGUCGGGUGUGAAAUCUCGGGGCUUAACUCCGAAACUGCAUUCGAUACUGCGGUGCUUGAGGACUGGAGAGGAGACUGGAAUUUACGGUGUAGCAGUGAAAUGCGUAGAGAUCGUAAGGAAGACCAGUGGCGAAGGCGGGCCUCUGGACAGUUCCUGACACUGAGGCACGAAGGCCAGGGGAGCAAACGGG
rnacentral:rRNA from 1 species